UCCUACGGGAGGCAGCAGUGGGGAAUUUUGGACAAUGGGCGGAAGCCUGAUCCAGCAAUGCCGCGUGUGUGAAGAAGGCCUUCGGGUUGUAAAGCACUUUUGUCCGGAAAGAAAUCCUUGGCUCUAAUACAGUCGGGGGAUGACGGUACCGGAAGAAUAAGCACCGGCUAACUACGUGCCAGCAGCCGCGGUAAUACGUAGGGUGCGAGCGUUAAUCGGAAUUACUGGGCGUAAAGCGUGCGCAGGCGGUUUGCUAAGACCGAUGUGAAAUCCCCGGGCUCAACCUGGGAACUGCAUUGGUGACUGGCAGGCUAGAGUAUGGCAGAGGGGGGUAGAAUUCCACGUGUAGCAGUGAAAUGCGUAGAGAUGUGGAGGAAUACCGAUGGCGAAGGCAGCCCCCUGGGCCAAUACUGACGCUCAUGCACGAAAGCGUGGGGAGCAAACAGGAUUAGAUACCCUGGUAGUCCACGCCCUAAACGAUGUCAACUAGUUGUUGGGGAUUCAUUUCCUUAGUAACGUAGCUAACGCGUGAAGUUGACCGCCUGGGGAGUACGGUCGCAAGAUUAAAACUCAAAGGAAUUGACGGGGACCCGCACAAGCGGUGGAUGAUGUGGAUUAAUUCGAUGCAGCGCGAAAAACCUUACCUACCCUUGACAUGGUCGGAAUCCCGCUGAGAGGUGGGAGUGCUCGAAAGAGAACCGGCGCACAGGUGCUGCAUGGCUGUCGUCAGCUCGUGUCGUGAGAUGUUGGGUUAAGUCCCGCAACGAGCGCAACCCUUGUCCUUAGUUGCUACGCAAGAGCACUCUAAGGAGACUGCCGGUGACAAACCGGAGGAAGGUGGGGAUGACGUCAAGUCCUCAUGGCCCUUAUGGGUAGGGCUUCACACGUCAUACAAUGGUCGGAACAGAGGGUUGCCAACCCGCGAGGGGGAGCUAAUCCCAGAAAACCGAUCGUAGUCCGGAUUGCACUCUGCAACUCGAGUGCAUGAAGCUGGAAUCGCUAGUAAUCGCGGAUCAGCAUGCCGCGGUGAAUUCAUUCCCGGGCCUUGUACACACCG
rnacentral:rRNA from 1 species